UGGGGGAUAACGUAGGGAAACUUACGCUAAUACCGCAUACGACCUUCGGGUGAAAGCAGGGGACCUUCGGGCCUUGCGCGGAUAGAUGAGCCGAUGUCGGAUUAGCUAGUUGGCGGGGUAAAGGCCCACCAAGGCGACGAUCCGUAGCUGGUCUGAGAGGAUGAUCAGCCACACUGGAACUGAGACACGGUCCAGACUCCUACGGGAGGCAGCAGUGGGGAAUAUUGGACAAUGGGCGCAAGCCUGAUCCAGCCAUACCGCGUGGGUGAAGAAGGCCUUCGGGUUGUAAAGCCCUUUUGUUGGGAAAGAAAAGCAGCUGGCUAAUACCCGGUUGUUCUGACGGUACCCAAAGAAUAAGCACCGGCUAACUUCGUGCCAGCAGCCGCGGUAAUACGAAGGGUGCAAGCGUUACUCGGAAUUACUGGGCGUAAAGCGUGCGUAGGUGGUUGUUUAAGUCUGUUGUGAAAGCCCUGGGCUCAACCUGGGAAUUGCAGUGGAUACUGGGCGACUAGAGUGUGGUAGAGGGUAGUGGAAUUCCCGGUGUAGCAGUGAAAUGCGUA
rnacentral:rRNA from 1 species